rnacentral:tRNA from 1 species
GGAGAGGUAGCGAAGUGGUUAAACGCACCUGACUGUAAAUCAGGUCUCUUUUGAGUUCGGUGGUUCGAAUCCACCCCUCUCCA